GACGAACGCUGGCGGCGUGCUUAACACAUGCAAGUCGAACGGAAAGGCCCUGCUUUUGUGGGGUGCUCGAGUGGCGAACGGGUGAGUAACACGUGAGUAACCUGCCCUUGACUUUGGGAUAACUUCAGGAAACUGGGGCUAAUACCGGAUAGGAGCUCCUGCUGCAUGGUGGGGGUUGGAAAGUUUCGGCGGUUGGGGAUGGACUCGCGGCUUAUCAGCUUGUUGGUGGGGUAGUGGCUUACCAAGGCUUUGACGGGUAGCCGGCCUGAGAGGGUGACCGGCAACAUUGGGAAUGAGAUACGGCCCAGACUCCUACGGGAGGCAGCAGUGGGGAAUAUUGCACAAUGGGCGGAAGCCUGAUGCAGCAACGCCGCGUGCGGGAUGACGGCCUUCGGGUUGUAAACCGCUUUCGCCUGUGACGAAGCGUGAGUGACGGUAAUGGGUAAAGAAGCACCGGCUAACUACGU
rnacentral:rRNA from 1 species